rnacentral:lncRNA from 1 species
AUGUCUAAUAUGUUUGUGCAUAAUCCUAACUUCAAUCUUACAAGUUCUGAGCAUCUUGAAAGAUAUUUGAGGCUAUGAGUUACUACAAGCUCUCUUACUGAAGUUGUAAAGAGAUUGGAGUCGUGUUAGGCUUCUAGCAAAAUUCUGGUUUACCUAUGUCCUUCAUGCCAGAGCAAUCAGUAAGGUCAAGCUCUUCAAGCAUCAAGCAACUUAAUCCCCUAAAAUCACUUCCAGCAACCCUAAAAUCAGU